CCGAACGGCAGAAGUGGUGAUGGGCGCGUAUUUUCCGCCGGGCUCUUGGCCGGCGUACUUGUGCGCGUCCGUAGGUCAGCGUGGGUUGGGGCGUGGGAGUCGUUCAUGGGAAGGUCUUCGGGCCAAUCUCGUGUUCAGGCCGCGCCUGAGACCUUCGGUGACGAAAUUCUUCCGUUCACCCCGUCUUGAAACACGGACCAAGGAGUCUAAAAUACGAGCGAGUGCGCCGGUGGCAACCCGGGGCGCGUAAUGAAAGUGAGACCGACGGUGGGAGGGCUUUACGUCCGCACCAUCAACCGACCACGAUCCUUCGGGUGAAAGGUUUGAGUGUAGCUUGUAUUUUGGGACCCGAAAGAUGGUGAACUAUGCCUGAAUAGGGCGAAGCCAGGGGAAACUCUGGUGGGGGCUCGUAGCGAUUCUGACGUGCAAAUCGAUCGUCAAAUUUGGGUAUAGGGGCGAAAGACUAAUCGAACCAUCUAGUAGCUGGUUCCCUCCGAAAUUUCCCUCAGGAUAGCAGCAAUCGAAGAGUUUUAUCAGGUAAAGCGAAUGAUUAGAGGCCUCAGGGGUGGAACGUCCUUGACCUAUUCUCAAACUUUAAAUGGGUAAGAGCCAGGGGUUGCUUAAGUGAACCCCUCGGUCGAAUCGCGGUUGCUAGUGGGCCACCCGGGGUAAGCUCGGUUGGCGAUGCGGGAUGAUCCGAACGUCGAGUUAAAGUGCCUCACUGCCCGCUCACCUAGAUCCCACAAAAGGUGUUGGUUCAUUUAGACAGCAGGACGGUGGCCAUGGAAGUCGGAACCCGCUAAGGAGUGUGUAACAACUCACCUGCCGAAUGGAUUAGCCCUGAAAAUGGACGGCGCUGAAGCGAGCGACUUAUACUCGACCAUCACGGCAAGUGCGACGCCGUGAUGAGUAGGGGGGCGUGGGGCUCGUGGCGCAUCCCGCGGCGUGAGCCGGGGUGAAACGGGCUCUAGUGCAGAUCUUGGUGGUAGUAGC
rnacentral:rRNA from 1 species